GACGAACGCUGGCGGCGUGCUUAACACAUGCAAGUCGAACGGUAAGGCCCUUCGGGUACACGAGUGGCGAACGGGUGAGUAACACGUGGGUGAUCUGCCCUGCACUUCGGGAUAAGCCUGGGAAACUGGGUCUAAUACCGGAUAGGACCAUGGACUUCACGGUUUGUGGUGGAAAGCUUUGCGGUGUGGGAUGGGCCCGCGGCCUAUCAGCUUGUUGGUGGGGUAAUGGCCUACCAAGGCGACGACGGGUAGCCGGCCUGAGAGGGUGUCCGGCCACACUGGGACUGAGAUACGGCCCAGACUCCUACGGGAGGCAGCAGUGGGGAAUAUUGCACAAUGGCGCAAGCCUGAUGCAGCGACGCCGCGUGAGGGAUGACGGCCUUCGGUUGGUAAACC
rnacentral:rRNA from 1 species